GUGGUGCUUUUGUGGUAGCAUGUUCGCCUUGAGUGAGGGAGGUUGUGGGUUCGAACCCCGACCGGGUCAAAACCAAAGACUUUGAAAUUCAUAUUUGCAUGCUGCUUCCCUGCUAAGCACGCGGUAUUACGGAGUAAGAGCAAAAGCUGGUCGGCUUGGAAUCAGAAUAAUGUGUCCGGGUAAGGUGAUGUUACCUUUGAACUAGCAUGUGAAAAAUCCGGCUCAGGGUGUCGGUCUAGUACAAAGCAGGGUUAAUAUAUUUAUAUCACAUUAACAUGUACUUGUACGAAUAUGCAUAUCAAUUUGCCGUUGGACGUCAAUAAUCUACCAAUAAUCAUCUAUAGUUGAAACUGUGAAAUAUAUGCACAAAAACAUAAUAAAAAGCUGCACGCAAAUGUAAUGCACCGAGUUCAGGUUUAUUCCAUAUCUCCUUUAAUCCAUUUCGGAUGAAAGGGAUGGGCGCUCGGUGGUCGAGUGGUUACAUUGUCAUUUCGGGGCCUUUUAUAGCCGACUAUGCGGUAUGGGCUUUGCUCAUUGUUGAAGCCCGUACGGUGACCUACAGUUGCUAAUUUCUGUGUCCGUUUGGUCUCUUGUGGAGAGUUGUCUCAUUGGCAGUCAUACCACAUCUUCUUUUUUAUAAGUUAUCGAAAUAC
rnacentral:lncRNA from 1 species